AGCGAACGCUGGCGGAAUGCUUAACACAUGCAAGUCGCACGCCCUGCAAGGGGAGUGGCGGACGGGUGAGUAACGCGUAGGAAUAUGUCCAGAGGUGGGGGACAACCCUGGGAAACUGGGGCUAAUACCGCAUAUGGGCUGAGGCCCAAAGUAGUGAUGCGCCUUUGGAGUAGCCUGCGUCCGAUUAGCUUGUUGGUGGGGUAAAGGCUUACCAAGGCGACGAUCGGUAGCUGGUCUGAGAGGACGACCAGCCACACUGGGACUGAGACACGGCCCAGACUCCUACGGGAGGCAGCAGUGGGGAAUAUUGGACAAUGGGCGCAAGCCUGAUCCAGCAAUUCCGCGUGGGUGAAGAAGGUCUUCGGAUUGUAAAGCCCUUUCGACGGGGACGAUGAUGACGGUACCCGUAGAAGAAGCCCCGGCUAACUUCGUGCCAGCAGCCGCGGUAA
rnacentral:rRNA from 1 species